GAAAUUGAAAAGUUUAUUUUUAUAAGUUAAUUUAUUUUUAUAUUUAAAAAAAAUAUUUUUAUAUUUAUUUAUUAAUUUAGAUAAAAUUUUUAUGAAUUAUAGUUAAUCAGUAAAGUGAUUGAAUGAUUGAAAUAUUAUGAAAAUUAAAAUUUUUUAAAGAAAAAUUAAUUUUUUGUACCUUGGGUAUCAGGGUUUAUUAAAUAAUAAUUAUAAAAUUUAAUUUUCUCGAAUUUAAAAGAGCUAAGAAAUUAUAAAUUUUAUUGUAGUAUAAAUAUUUAAAAUAAUUUUUUAGUAAUGAAACGUUAUUCGUUUUUAAAUUUAUCUAGUUUUUUAAGAAAUAAAUUUAAUUUAGUUAAUUAUUAUAAUUAAGAUAAUUUAUUAUUUAUAUUAAUAUAAUUAAUUAAUAUUUUAAGGGAUAAGCUUUAAAAUAAAUUAUUAAAAAUAAUUUAAUUUAAUAUAUAAAAAUUAAUAGGAUUGGAAGUUUUUAUUAUUUAAAGGGUGUUAUAACGAAUUUUUAUAUAGAUUAGAUUUAUAUACAAUUUUAAAUUUUUUAUUAAAAUUAUUUAUUUAAUGUUAAAAUUUAUGUAAUAAUGAUAAAAUUAGUAUAAUAAAAUGUAUUAUUAAUUUGUAGAUUAAGGUUAAAUUAAGGAACUCGGCAAAUUAUUUUUCCGCCUGUUUAUUAAAAACAUGUCUUUUUGAUUAUAAUCUAAAGUCUGGCCUGCCCUAUGAAUAAGUUAUUUUUAAAUGGCUGCGGUACUCUGACCGUGCAAAGGUAGCAUAAUCAUUAGUUUUUUAAUUGGGAACUGGUAUGAAAGGUCGCACGAGAAAAAGACUGUCUCAAUUUAAUUUAAAUUAGAAUUUUAUUUUUAAGUAAGAAAGCUUAAAUAUUUUUAAAAGACGAGAAGACCCUAUAGAGUUUUAUAUAAUUUAGUAUAUUUGAAAGUUAAAGAAUUUUAGAUUUAAUUAUAUUAAAUUAUAUUUGGUUGGGGCAAUUAAAAAAUUAAAUGAAUUUUUUUUAAAUAAUAACAUUGAUAUAUGAUUGAGUGAUCCAUAAUUUAUGAUUAAAAGAUUAAAUUACCUUAGGGAUAACAGCGUAAUUUUUUUUAGAGUACUUAUCGAAAAAAGAGUUUGCGACCUCGAUGUUGGAUUAAAAUUUACUUUUGGCGCAGCAACUAAAAGGAUUAGGUCUGUUCGACCUUUAAAAUUUUACAUGAUCUGAGUUUAAACCGGUGUAAGCCAGGUUGGUUUCUAUCUUUAAAAAAUUAGAAUAUUUUUGUACGAAAGGACCAAAUAUUCGUAAUAAUUAUUAAGUUAAGAAUAUUAAUAAUUUAAAUAUUACUUUGGCAGAUUAGUGCUU
rnacentral:rRNA from 1 species